GCCAGAUGUGGUGGCACACACCUGUAAUCUCAGUGACUCAGGAGGCUGAGGCAAGAGGAUUGCAAGUUUAAGGCCAGCCUCAGCAACUUAGCAAGAUCCUGUCUCAA
rnacentral:sRNA from 1 species